rnacentral:rRNA from 1 species
CGGACGGGUGAGUAACGCGUGGGUAACCUGCCCUGUAACAGGGGGAUAACAGUCAGAAAUGACUGCUAAUACCGCAUAAGACCACAGCACCGCAUGGUGCAGGGGUAAAAACUCCGGUGGUACAGGAUGGACCCGCGUCUGAUUAGCUGGUUGGUGAGGUAACGGCUCACCAAGGCGACGAUCAGUAGCCGGCUUGAGAGAGUGAACGGCCACAUUGGGACUGAGACACGGCCCAAACUCCUACGGGAGGCAGCAUG